rnacentral:tRNA from 2 species
GGAGAGAUAGCGAAGAGGCUAAACGCGGUGGACUGUAAAUCCGCUCCUUCGGGUUCGGGGGUUCGAAUCCCUCUCUCUCCA